GCGUACCUUCAAAAGCCUUUUGGUCCGACCUACAUAUUGUUUGCCACAGUGUCCGUGUGGCAAACAAUAUGUAGGUCGGACCAAAAGGCUUUUGAAGGUACG